UACGGAGGGUGCAAGCGUUAUCCGGAUUCACUGGGUUUAAAGGGUGCGUAGGAGGGCAGGUAAGUCAGUGGUGAAAUCCCCGAGCUUAACUUGGGAACUGCCAUUGAUACUAUGUUUCUUGAAUUUUCUGGAGGUCAGCGGAAUAUGUCAUGUAGCGGUGAAAUGCUUAGAUAUGACAUAGAACACCAAUUGCGAAGGCAGCUGACUACAGGGACAUUGACACUGAGGCACGAAAGCGUGGGGAUCAAACAGG
rnacentral:rRNA from 1 species